CCAGGGUUUGCUGUAUCAUCUCACGUGUCAAUCAGUUCACCUUUUAACUUGUGUCCCUAGAAGCUGUCAGAAAAGCUCAAUGCACUCUGUAGGUCCAUUUCCACACAUACUCCAUGGCAGAGCAACCCCGAUUAUACACACAUUAAAGAAAAGUUAAAGAAAAAUACAAGGUUGGUUUUUUGUUUGUUUGUUUGGUUGUGUGUGUGUGUGUGUGUGUGUGUGUGUGUGUGUGUGUUUUAAACUACUACUACCAACCUGCAAGAUUAUAGUACCCCGAAUCUCCUGAAGGAUUACAUAAUAAGACAAUAAGUGAUGUGCAUUCAGAGGAAAGAGAGAUCAAAGUGGGCCUGAGUGGUUAGGGAAAUAUUCCAGAACUCUUAUCUCCUUCCUUUCUAUCUACGCAAAUAUUAAGUUAGAAUCGUGCAGCCACGUUUUGUUUACGCUUCUGGGGUUUUCAGCUUUGGUAAGAUGUAUGGACUUGGGUUCCUAUUCUGUAAUCCCUGUGUAUUCUUUUUUAUAUCUUUCUCCGUCCCUGUUUCUGUACUUAAAAUCACCUCGACGUCACCCUUCCCCACCCCUUCUCCCUUUCUUGGCUCCGGGUCUCGAAGGGAGAGGUGGUCCUUCUUGCAAGUACCAAUUGCUCGGCUCCCGCCCUGGAUCCCUUGUCUUAACUUGUUCCUCUCCGGAUCUUUUUACUUUUCAAUCUCUUUUUAUCCACUGAUUCCUUCCCUAAGUUAGGGUGACUUAAGGAUAGAACUGAGGAGGGCGCGGGCGGCAGGCUGGACUCAAACCCUGGAACAAUCACCCUGCGGGUCAGGGAGCAGGAGCGAAAUAAAGCACAGCGUCCUCCCUACGGAGCAGAUCUUUCGAGGACCUCGCAGCCUCUCUUUUAAACACACGGUCCCAGCGUCCUCCGUCAUUACCAAGGAGCUCUAAACUCUUUGGCGGGAAGAGAGACAUUGCCUGGGGAGAACUCUCACUCCCUUCUGCGGAUGAGUGCAUGGAAAUGAGGCUGCAGGUAAAACCACCGGAUGGGUUCUUGGAUUAGGUGAACAGGCGGAGGAAGAAGUCAGGCUCUUUUUUUUUUUUUUUUUUUUUUUUUUUGUGAGGAGCCCUGCGUCUCCUCAGAGAGAUUCUGAGAGGGAAGAAUGUAAGAUCGAUCCCUUUGCUUUCUGAUCUGAAGGCGGGAGGAAUGAGACGUGGAAGACAAAGAACAGUCCUUUGGUGUGUCGGGGUGGUCAAGAACCGGAGGACCCAGGUAGGAGGGGACCAGGACCUUUGGGGAUUUCCAAGAAUUUGGAAACUUCCAGCCUCUCCAUUCACAUCCGCACGGAGAGGGAGCGGGAAAUCUCUGUCCCGGGUUAUAUAUCUAUCUGUGUAUCUAUGUAUUUAUCUAUGUAUCUAUCUAUAUGUAUCUAUAUAUCCAUGUAUGUAUCUGUGUAUCUAUGUAUGUAUCUAUCUAAUCUAUCUAAACUAUCUAUCUAUCUAUCACUGGGGCCGAAUCCACCUGACCCACCAAUCUCCGACUCCCUCUUCAUCUGUUCGCACCUUACAGACCUAGCCAUUCUAGCCGCCCGAUAGUCCUAAGCUGACACGUCCACACACCCAGCCAGCUGACCUCGUGGCGCAACGGUAGCGCGUCUGACUCCAGAUCAGAAGGUUGCGUGUUCGAAUCACGUCGGGGUCAUAGUACGUGAUGUCACGUUUUUCCUUUUAACACCUCCUGCUUCUUAGAAACCUUUGUCAGCUUCCCAGGAUAGGACUCUCAAUCCAUUUUUUCCGGUCUUCCUCAGGGGCUGGACGCGGAGAGAAUCCGGUCGCUGAGGGGCUAGAAACGGGAGGAGAAGGGUGCCCUAAUUCUUGCAAUGGUCCGAGGACUGACCGAUUGACUACAGUCUUGAGGUGGGCACCUCGGCUUUCGGAGAAACAUGACAAUAGCAGAAGAAAAACAGCGCUCUCCAGAAAGGGCUUCUGAGACUCCAGAGGGUGGAGACGGUCCUUCACAUCCGAGGACGAGGUGGCCGAGUGGUUAAGGCGAUGGACUGCUAAUCCAUUGUGCUAUGCACGCGUGGGUUCGAAUCCCAUCCUCGUCGGCAGUGGUGGGAAGUAAAAUGUAUUUUUAAAAAGGUGA